AGGUCCCAAAGUCAUGGUUAAGUGGGAAACGAUGUGGGAAGGCCCAGACAGCCAGGAUGUUGGCUUAGAAGCAGCCAUCAUUUAAAGAAAGCGUAAUAGCUCACUGGUCGAGUCGGCCUGCGCGGAAGAUGUAACGGGGCUAAACCAUGCACCGAAGCUGCGGCAGCGACACUAUGUGUUGUUGGGUAGGGGAGCGUUCUGUAAGCCUGUGAAGGUGUGCUGUGAGGCAUGCUGGAGGUAUCAGAAGUGCGAAUGCUGACAUAAGUAACGAUAAAGCGGGUGAAAAGCCCGCUCGCCGGAAGACCAAGGGUUCCUGUCCAACGUUAAUCGGGGCAGGGUGAGUCGACCCCUAAGGCGAGGCCGAAAGGCGUAGUCGAUGGGAAACAGGUUAAUAUUCCUGUACUUGGUGUUACUGCGAAGGGGGGACGGAGAAGGCUAUGUUGGCCGGGCGACGGUUGUCCCGGUUUAAGCGUGUAGGCUGGUUUUCCAGGCAAAUCCGGAAAAUCAAGGCUGAGGCGUGAUGACGAGGCACUACGGUGCUGAAGCAACAAAUGCCCUGCUUCCAGGAAAAGCCUCUAAGCAUCAGGUAACAUCAAAUCGUACCCCAAACCGACACAGGUGGUCAGGUAGAGAAUACCAAGGCGCUUGAGAGAACUCGGGUGAAGGAACUAGGCAAAAUGGUGCCGUAACUUCGGGAGAAGG
rnacentral:rRNA from 1 species